CUGCCGACCUGGACCGGCCGGUCGCCGGUGUUCGCGACGUCGAGCGUCACGGUGGGGGCGCCGGCGUUCAGCUCGAUGUCGCCGGA
rnacentral:tRNA from 1 species